AUACGUAGGUGGCGAGCGUUGUCCGGAAUUACUGGGCGUAAAGGAUGCGUAGGUGGAUACUUAAGUGGGAUGUGAAAUCCCCGGGCUCAACCCGGGAACUGCAUUCCAAACUGGGUAUCUAGAGUGCAGGAGAGGAAAGCGGAAUUCCUAGUGUAGCGGUGAAAUGCGUAGAUAUUAGGAGGAACACCAGUGGCGAAGGCGGUUUUCUGGACUGUAACUGACCCUGAGGCAUGAAAGCGUGGGUAGAAAACAGGAUUAGAUACCCUGGUAGUCCACGCCGUAAACGAUGGGUACUAGGUGUAGGAGGUAUCGACCCCUUCUGUGCCGUCGUUAACACAAUAAGUACCCCGCCUGGGGAGUACGGUCGCAAGACUAAAACUCAAAGGAAUUGACGGGG
rnacentral:rRNA from 1 species